GCAGACACAUUCCAGCCAAUCAGCAGCAGACCCUCCCUCCCAGACCCUCCCACCUAAUGGACAGCUCACUAAGAAUGCAGCUUCACAAUGAAUGUAAAAUGGAUGCUGUCCAGGAGGUGGGAGGGUCUGGGAGGGAGGGUCUGCUGCUGAUUGGCUGGAAUGUGUCUG